UCUGUCAUUGGUGGCAUACAAGUAGUAGCACACUCUGCUACUACACACUCUUUCGAGUGAAUGGUCUAUAUCCUUGAAAUUUUAUUAUUUUAUCUAAUCAUAGUCAAGGGAUGCAGGUUGUUUGUAUAAAAAAAGAUUAAUAUAGCUCUAUUAAUAUUUUCAGAAUUGAACCAAAUAGAGAAACUGUUAGCUAUUUCUCUCAUCUCUCCGAUCGCACCAAUAAACAUUUGAACGUAUUUUAACCAGUGUGCUCAUAGACAAACCGGAGUCCAGCAAUAUUUUUGUAGGGAUCUCAUUUAUAUUUGCCGGCCUAAUGCAAUGUAACAAUUACACCACAUGGGGGAGCGUAGGUCAGAUAUGCCUGUAAUUUACUACAGGAACAGAAGUGAUGGGGAUGUUUAGCUAGAAAGGGAUUUUGCUGCGUCAUAUCGACCUAAUUGUGUUGGUUCAUCCGAGCUUCAGUGUAUUUCCAAGAUCAUUCACAGAGAAAAUAUCUGGACCAAAAUACAGCGGUAUUCUAUCAUGUAAAGUUUACACUUUGUUGCCUGCAAUACAUAAUGAUAUAAGAAGCAUGGCUAACCCGAACCGUAAUGUAACCUUUUUGGUUGACUUACGGUCAUCUACCAGGAAAGCGUCUCAUUUGCAAGCCAUAUGGAAAUCUUUGUGUAAAUGAGGUAGAGGGUGUAGUGGAAAGACUGAACACGUUUUUUCUUUCGCUAUUAGACGUAUGGUUAUCUAAUCUACCACUCAACUCUCAUAUUCUCCACUUUACUUUCUGAAGCGGUUAGUGAGCCAAUCCCAUGAACGGUCACUUCCACCAAUUCUGAAGACGCUAAUAGUUUGUACGUAGACGCAAGGCUGAAACACGACCGCCCACCCCCCCGGAUCCUGUGUCAAUAUUGGUUCAGAGAAAAUGCACCGGGCGACAGGUGUACGCUAGAGGAUCCUCUAUCUUUAAAGCCUAUCUUAAAAAAAAGAUAAAUGGAACGGCAGCUAUUUAUACCCCAGGUAUAAAAACACACCAUUGGCCGCGCAGGUUCAUUUCAUCUAAAGAUAAACGUGGACGGAAAGGCGAAGUGUCUCCUAACCUGUGGACAUCUUCUUCAUCGUCUUAUUUAACACUUACCAAAAAGCCACCACAGGUAAGUCUGGAUGGAGCGCAUCAAGGAUCCAAUAUAGACAGCGAUACAUUAUUUCGAAUGGGCUACAGCCUACUGCAACAAGCUUUCCUGGCGCCGCAGUACAGUGAUACAAGAAGAGUACAACAUGAUAGCCUAUUUGGAACUCUGAAACUUCCGUUUUUUUUCUGUGCUUGCCUCACGUUGAGCCUCACGUACAAUACCUGAAGAUGAAGUUUUGUUCGUUCGGCUCGCGUUAAGCAGGUACAGAUUUGCUUCAUAUCUGAAAACGGAAAUAAUGGAAAGUUCUAAAAACAAAAUAAACAAUAUAAAAAUCCUCAAUUAAGAUAAAGUCAGUUUAUAUUGUGUGCAUUAGCCUAUAUGUUAACGUACCUAUGAGGCAAUUCAUUUGUUGGAAGCUGUUGGAAAAAGAAUUCAUAGCAUAUGUUGCUAUUUGUGUAGUUACUUUACUUGAUUUUGUUAUAAUAUUCUAAUAAAACCCUGUUAUGUAAAAUCAAUUUCAAACAGUUGCACGAGUUUUCUAAAUUUAAGUGGGUAUUUCAGAAGUUAUUUAUAUAUUUCCUUCUUUCUUUUAUUAUAUUCCAUAACAGCGACCCAGACAUAGUGAGUCUAUCGUGUGGGGAUUAGUAUGAAAAAUAUAAGCAGGACAGACUUUUAUAUGAGAUAAAAAGGACAUUACACUCCUUUGCCUGGAACCCUCUCAUUCACAUGAGGAGUACACCUCAUUACAGCUGCCAUUUAGCGCACACGUGAUGUAAAAAAACAAUAUAGUGUGCUAAUGGUAACACUAGCACAGUGAUCUCAAGUAAUUUCAAUUUAAACUUUUUUUUAAAGUUCAUCAUUCUUUCUAGCCUUUUCUUCCAAGCUUGUGCAUCCAAUUUCAGCAAUGGUAUCACUUGAAAAUCAUGGAAGGUGUUCAGUACUGUAUGGCAUUUAAGCAUAUGCUUGUGUCAGGAGGAAAACAGCCAUUGUUCUCUUAAUUAAUACUCUGGUGCUAAGACAAAGGCUUUCCUUUAUUUGUAAAGGCAUACACUGAAUUUGCUUUCAUGUGCUAAAAUGGUGGACCUGCGUUGCUAUGAGAACAUAGAUCCUUAAAUAUGACAUGCUUGGUCAUGAACAAAGAUCAGCACCUGCACACAAUAGGGCAUUACUGUUGUAAAGCGACACAUUAAACACAGAUAACAAGGUGGGGUGUUUGAAAAGUAAUGUCUCCUACUCAGAGCAAGCCAUCUUUAGACUGUGCCGUUCCACGGUCCAUGGAUCCUUUAAAUUAAUCAAUAGAAAGCAGAAUAUAAUAUAUAAUUUGCGAAUUAAUGUUAUCUAUUUAUGCUAUUAUACAUUAAAUAUUGACUAUUAACUGUGAGCUUAUUAUCUUUUUGAAUCUUGCCACAGUGUUUGAAGGAUGCAAGCAGAUAAGAUAUGCUUGAUUAAUUAAUUAAUCACACUUUAGCGUUCAUGGACUGACAAUGACAUCUGCUGUCCUUGUCCAUUAGCUUUACAACUGUUCUGCUCUGUCAGGGCUAAAGGUGACCUUACUCACACUAUGAAUUGAAUAAAAGCCUACAGCAGCACAUGGCAGCUCCUUUCCCAUCAAAUAAAGCAGAUCACAUUUAACCCCCCCCCCCCCCCCUUUUUUGGAUUUUUUUAUUUUUGUGUCUAUGUGUAUUAAAAAUGCUUUGCUAUAAUCCUUUCAGGGCCCUAUUUCUUAUUGGUUUCAAAUGAUACAUUUUCAUAUGCAUAUUUAUUUCCCAAUGUAUCAGGGAAAAACCCUAACUCUGCAAAUGAACAAAACACUCCCAUGACAAACAUGUAUGAUGUCUCUCUUUUGUUUUUUAUUGUGUAACAACACACAUCAUUGUUUAGUCAAAAUGAGCUUUUUCAUGUCCUGUCCAACAAAAUUAGUUGAUAACACUUGGUCAUCGAACAAAUAGAAAUAAAUCAUUUAAUGUUGAAUGGGAAAGAGUGUGACUGGCCUUCUGUCGUGUGACUGCAUUAUUUAAAUAGGUGACAUCAGUUAGCCCACAUUUGCAUACACAAAAGACUAGUUUUUCCAGUAUGAAUCCACAGAUGCUGGGAAGUAGUAUUAAGAACUGAGUAUAUUAUUACAAGCGCAACUGUAAUUUUUCCAUUUGAAUUGUUUGAUUCACGUUUCCAUACAAUGCAUGGAAAAUGUAAUGGACAGGGUCUUUGUUUAAUGAUUUGAGUCCCACCUGUCUGUUUGACUAUGCCCCUAUAUAUUUGAUUUUCACACAGGAAUUAGAGAAAACAAAGAUACACAGCCUGUAUCCUGGUCACAUUUCUAACUGCCAACACAAUAUUCUCCCAUGCCUCAGAAACCAUUCUUCUUUAUUAUUCUUCCGAAAUGUAAACUGAAGGAUACUGACUUACAAUAUUAGUGGCCAAACAAGGAAAUGGUAGAUUAACUAAUAUUAAAGCAAAAAGUGUUGUGUUCAAACAAUGCAACUACUGAUCAACAGUUUUGUGCUCUUGGUAAAGAUGUUUUGUAAAAACAGAAGACCAUGUUCUAUUGCGCUGUAUCCUCUAUGACAUUUGAA